CAGUCGAACGAAACUUCUUUAUCACCGAGUGCUUGCACUCACCGAUAAAGAGUUGAGUGGCGAACGGGUGAGUAACACGUGGGCAACCUGCCCAAAAGAGGGGGAUAACACUUGGAAACAGGUGCUAAUACCGCAUAACCAUAGUUACCGCAUGGUAACUAUGUAAAAGGUGGCUAUACUACCGCUUUUGGAUGGGCCCGCGGCGCAUUAGCUAGUUGGUAGGGUAAAGGCUUACCAAGGCAAUGAUGCGUAGCCGAAUUGAGAGGUUGAUCGGCCACAUUGGGACUGAGACACGGCCCAAACUCCUACGGGAGGCAGCAGUAGGGAAUCUUCCACAAUGGGCGAAAGCCUGAUGGAGCAACGCCGCGUGGGUGAAGAAGGUCUUCGGAUCGUAAAACCCUGUUGUUAGAGAAGAAAGUGCGUGAGCGUAACUGUUCACGUUUCGACGGUAUCUAACCAGAAAGCCACGGCUAACUACGUGCCAGCAGCCGCGGUAAUACGUAGGUGGCAAGCGUUAUCCGGAUUUAUUGGGCGUAAAGGGAACGCAGGCGGUCUUUUAAGUCUGAUGUGAAAGCCUUCGGCUUAACCGGAGUAGUGCAUUGGAAACUGGGAGACUUGAGUGCAGAAGAGGAGAGUGGAACUCCAUGUGUAGCGGUGAAAUGCGUAGAUAUAUGGAAGAACACCAGUGGCGAAAGCGGCUCUCUGGUCUGUAACUGACGCUGAGGUUCGAAAGCGUGGGUAGCAAACAGGAUUAGAUACCCUGGUAGUCCACGC
rnacentral:rRNA from 1 species